UAAUAUGUACUUAGGUAUAAAGAUAUACCAUACCAUACUGCGGUGAAUGGGACUUUUCGGCUCGGGCGAUUCGGUGAUAUGACAAUGUUCGACGAUGUCCGUUUUGGCGAUACGGAAAUGUACUUACCUAUAACAUUGUCUCACAAUGUGGUAUAGAAAUGUUAUCUUUAUUACUAUAAGUUAUUGUUAUCAUUACUACACGAUAAUGUGGUCAUGAUAGUCGAUAUGGAUUAUCUGAUAAUUUUAUAAUUUUAUAAUUUAGUCUGCGGAAAGUGAAGUGCCUACAUAUACGUAGUCAAGUAUAUUGUUAUUAGUUAAUAUAUAUUAUAUUAUUGGUAUUCAAUUAUUUUUUUUAUUAUUUUUUUUAAAGGUAAAUAAAUAGGUAUUAGGUAUGUCAAAAGUAAAAUCAAAAAGAAAUAAAAAUGUGAUCCCCGUGGAUGGUUUUAUGUUCAUAUUUGAUAAGCUUAAAGCGGACGAAACUAAACGAUUUUGGCGAUGUUGUCGUAAAGAUUUGUCUUGUCCGGCCCGAAUACAUACUGGUGUACAUGAUUUUAAAGUUUAAAAUAUUCUGCUAAAAAACAUUGUCAUGAUUCUGAAACGGCUAGAAUAGAAGCAGACACAGCUUUAACGAAUAUGCGUCAACGAGCUAUUUUAACAAUGGAACCACGUCUUGUGUAAUUAAUGAAUGUGCUAACGGGUUAUCAGAUGCGGCAAAGGGCGUUUUACAAUCUUCCGAAGCUCUAAAACGACAAGUACGGCGUAUAAGAAAUAAUGAAAUAGCAGCUCCAUGUAUUCCAUCAGAUUUAUUAUCUUUACAGAUACCCGAUGAGUAUCAAAAUUAUUCACCAUCAAUCGGAGUUAAUGACAAUUUUUUAUUGGCUGAUAGUGGGCCUAGCAAUGAAAGAAUAUUAAUAUUUGGUCAACCACUUGGUCUCAAGUUAUUAAAAGAUUCAAAAAUAUGGUACACGGAUGGAACUUUUAAAGUGGCACCUAUUCUAUUUUUCCAAGUUUAUGUUAUUUUAGCUGGAUUUUUAGGGGGAGUGCAUCCUGCAGUUUAUGCAUUGCUACCUAACAAAAAAGAACAAACAUAUGUAAAAUUAUUUAGUAUGAUUAAUCAAUUACAACCUGAUCUCCAUCCAACAUCAGUAUCUUGCGAUGUUGAACUUGGAGCCAUAACAGCAAUAAAAAUUUAAUUUGAAAUAUAAAUAUUUUUGGUUUUUAUUUUCAUUUAAGGCAACAUUUUUUGAAAAAAGUUGGAGAGUUACAUUUACUGUCAAAUAUAAUAAUGAAGCAAACUUUUGUGUAGCAACUAAAACAAUUAUUGCGUUGGCGUUUAUACCAUUGUGUGAUUUAGAUAUGGCUACAGAUGAGUUGGCAAACGAACUUCCAGAUGAGCUUAUACCAUUAUUUGAGUGAUUUGAAGAAUUUUACAUUGAAAAGAAAAAUCGACGUAUAGGUUGAUGAAAUGUGGAAUCUUCACCGACGAAUAUUGAAUGAUUCAGACCGGACAAAUAAUCAUGCAGAGGCGGCAACCGAUGAUUAAAUAUUCAAAUAGGUAGGUACUCAUUCAACGAUAUGGACUUUCAUUGCGAAUCUCAAAAAAAAUUCAAGUCAGGCGUGACACGUACUAUGAAAAUAUUGUGUCGGGAAAUAGUCCUCCAAGGAAGUUGAAAAAAUUUCAAGACA
rnacentral:lncRNA from 1 species